GUGACUUUUGAGCGAUAUCCGUCUUUUUUUUUUUUAAAUGACGGUGUGACAACUGAUUGCGCCUGGAGUACCGGUGAAAAUUACAACAUUUCUUAGUGAAAUCCUUAAGGAAAUGGUUCCGAGAAAAAAUUAUACUCCCAACCAGUUAGAAAAAACCUUAGAAGCUGUAAAAAACGGCGAAAAGAUUGCAGUCGCAUACCAUUUUUGGCGCGAACUUGUGGAGGCAUAUGCCCAG
rnacentral:misc_RNA from 1 species